rnacentral:rRNA from 1 species
CGGUAAUACGGAGGGUGCAAGCGUUACUCGGAAUCACUGGGCGUAAAGCGCGCGCAGGCGGUCUAUUAAGUUGGAUGUGAAAGCCUACGGCUCAACCGUAGAACUGCAUCCAAAACUAUUAGACUAGAGUGUGGGAGAGGAAGAUGGAAUUAGUUGUGUAGGGGUAAAAUCCGUAGAGAUAACUAGGAAUACCAAAAGCGAAGGCAAUCUUCUGGAACACUACUGACGCUGAGGCGCGAAAGCGUGGGGAGCAAACAGGAUUAGAUACCCUGGUAGUCCACGCAGUAAACGAUGAAUGUUAGUCGUCGGGGGCCUAGUGUCUUCGGUGAUGCAGCUAACGCAUUAAACAUUCCGCCUGAGGAGUACGGUCGCAAGAUUAAAACUCAAAGGAAUAGACGGGGACCCGCACAAGUGGUGGAGCAUGUGGUUUAAUUCGAAGAUACGCGAAGAACCUUACCUAGCCUUGACAUAUUUGAAAAUCCACCAGAGAUGGAGGAGUGCCUUCGGGAGUUCAUAUACAGGUGCUGCACGGCUGUCGUCAGCUCGUGUCGUGAGAUGUUGGGUUAAGUCCCGCAACGAGCGCAACCCUCGUCACUAGUUACUAACGAUUCGGUCGAGGACUCUAGUGAGACUGCCUUCGCAAGAAGGAGGAAGGUGAGGACGACGUCAAGUCAUCAUGGCCCUUACGGCUAGGGCAACACACGUGCUACAAUGGCCAGGACAGUGAGAAGCGAUACCGCGAGGUGGAGCAAAUCUAUAAACCUGGUCUCAGUUCGGAUUGUAGUCUGCAACUCGACUACAUGAAGCUGGAAUCACUAGUAAUCGUAGAUCAGCUAUGCUACGGUGAAUACGUUCCCGGG